AAUAGCUCAAAUUUGAAAUCUGGCGUCUUCGGCGUCCGAGUUGUAAUUUGUAGAGGAUGCUUCUGGGCAGCCACCGACCUAAGUUCCUUGGAACAGGACGUCAUAGAGGGUGAGAAUCCCGUAUGCGGUCGGAAAGGCACCCUACACGUAGCUCCUUCGACGAGUCGAGUUGUUUGGGAAUGCAGCUCUAAAUGGGAGGUAAAUUUCUUCUAAAGCUAAACAUUGGCCAGAGACCGAUAGCGCACAAGUAGAGUGAUCGAAAGAUGAAAAGCACUUUGGAAAGAGAGUUAAAAAGCACGUGAAAUUGUUGAAAGGGAAGGGAUUGCAACCAGACUUGCUCGCGGUGUUCCGCCGGUCUUCUGACCGGUCUACUCGCCGCGUUGCAGGCCAGCAUCGUCUGGUGCCGCUGGAUAAGACUUGAGGA
rnacentral:rRNA from 1 species